UAAAGAAUCUCAUCAUCUACAUCAUCCUUCACCACUUUGAAAAGACUCUCCCACUUCACACAUUUAUGGCUUCCUCUCACCCUUCCAUCCUCUAGCGCCCUCAUGGUCCACGAUCAUGGUCGUCGUCUCCAAGCCAACCCAAUCUCCCUCGCUUAGAUGGGUUUCACUUGUUUUGCUCUCAACCUUCAAGGUCAUGGAGGAUCUUAAGGCCUUUGUUCCUAACAUUGAUAUCAUCGUCCAAGACUGCCUCUCCUUUAGAUCCAUUAAGCAGACCCCAACUUUUAGGGCUUGCUUCAUUCCCUCUACAUUAGUGGUGGCACGAUAUGCCUUCUCAUUAAUUUCUCUGACCUAAAAGGAAUUUUCCUUUAUCGUAAAGUUGAGUCUCUCUCUGACCCCCCCUCUUGAUUGUUUUCCCUUUUUGCAAUUUUGCCGAUGCAAGAAACAGAGCUCUAUGAUUUGUCUAAUGAUGUCGCAUCGCAAUAACAUGUAAUCACGUUGCCAAUUUAGCUCCGAAUGCAUUGCUUUGCUCCAUGGAAUCGCAUUCAAUCAAGUUCAGGUGAUUUGGUUGAAUUCAUUCGAAUCUACGUUUUUUUAUGGAUUAUGACAAAUUUAACAAAGUUAAGGAAUUUUGGCAAUUUUAUUGACCUAGAAUUGGCCACAUCUAGCAAUUUAUUCGAUUUAGAUCCUUCCUCUCGUACAAGUCCGUGAAAGUAGAUAGCGAAGGUGAGAGUGGGAAAAGGGUUGCACCCAUCUGGUGCCACAGAUUAUGAUUAUGCGGGUGGUGCUUGUACUGAAGGCUCGUUCAAGAAGCUUAAAUUCAGGUUGAGUUAUCAAGUUCAAGACUUAAAACGAAAAAAAAAAAAAAACAGAGGAACGUGAAGCUUGACAGAAGAUGGAGUUGAGUUCAAGCAUGGAGAAGACAAAUUCCACUCAUUGAUAUCCAUAAAUGCAAGAUUGUUUUCACACGAGAGUCCAACUCAGCUUGUCACGCAUGUGUCUAAUGGUCAAAGUUAUUGAUUUAACAGUCAACAAUGGUAUGAGUUAACUGCAGGACAGAAUGGUACCCUUCUUAAAAAAUUGAAGAAAGAUAUUGUUUAAAUAAAAAAUUUAAAAUAUUAGGUGCUCUUAUUAAAUAAAUUUUAAGAUAAAUUUAUUCCUUAAUCCUUUA